AUCUGUAUAACCAAUAAGUUUGCAAUUAUUCUCCUUUUUAAACUCGAUGACAUGGUUCUUAGUUCCUUUAAGGAAUCUCAAAAUUCUUUUUGCUGCUGCAAAAUGUAGUUUACUUGGUUCAUUCAUGAAUCUGGAUAAUAAGCUGACUGAAUAUUUAAUAUCUGGCCUUGUAUUAAGAUAAAUCAAUGAUCCAAUCAAUUUUCUGUAGAGUGUGGCAUCAACUUUUUCUACAUCAUCAUAAAUCUGCAAUUUUUCAUUUAAGUCCAUCGGAGUAGAGAUUGGCUUGCACUCACUCAUUUUGAAUUUUUUGAGAUCAUUAAUAUACUUUUCUUGAGAAAGAAAAAUUCUUCCUGGACUUUGCUUUACUUGAAUCCCAAGAAAAUAUCUCAUGAGUCCCAAGUCUGACAUUUCAAAAUCUUUCAUCAUUUUCUUCUUGAAUUCAUCCACCAUGUGUUCAUUUGUUCCAAAAUAGAUGAGAUCAUCCAUGUAGAGGCAUACGAUAAGAAAAUCUUUUUCUACAUUUUUCACAUAGAGGGAUGAUUCACUUGUGCUUCGAUUGAAGCCAUUUUGAAUGAAAUAGCUAUUGAUUUUGCUAUUCCAUGCUCGAGGUGCUUGCUUUAACCUGUAUAAUGCUUUUUGAAGAUGAUAAGCUUUGUCUUCUUUGCCUUUGAUUUUGAACCCUUCAGGUUGUUCAACAUACACUUCUUCUUGAAUUUCGCCAUUUAAGAAUGCUCAUUUUACAUCGAGCUGAAACACUUUUAAUUCCAAUUGAGCUGCUAAUGCCAGAACUGUACGUAUUGUCUCCAUUCUUGCAACUGGAGCAAAUGUCUCUAUGAAGUCGACUCCUGGUCGUUGAGAAUAUCCUUUAGCCACGAGUCGAGCUUUAUAUUUCUGAAUUGACCCGUCUUCAUUGUAUUUGAUUUUAUAGAUCCACUUCAAACCAAUGGUCUUCUUUCCCUCUGGUAAAUCAACGAGUUCCCAAGUUUUAUUUUUCUCAAUGGCGGAUAUUUCUUCAUUCAUUGCUUUUGUCCAACUUUUGUCUUUUGAAACUUCUUCAUAUGAUUGAGGUUCACAAGAGAAUAAUCCCAGUUCCUGCGAUUCAUAUAUUUCUAUUAGUGAAAGUGUUUUUCUUGGAGGGGUUUCUGACUCUUUUUCAGUUGUUGGAAUAUUUGGAGCUAUAAGUUGUUCAAUGUUGGGGAUUUGAGAUGUCGAUGGAUCAUCAAAUUGAUAGGGUCUGGAAUCCACGACUUGCUUUCCUUUCCAAUCAUAAAUUGUACUUACAUCAAACACAAGAUCUCGAGAAACUGUUAUUUUAUUUGUCUCUGGAUUUAGUAAACGAUAUCCUUUAGACUCGUCACUAUAUCCAAUGAAUAGAAGUUUUUGUCCUUUCUGAUCAAACUUCUCUCUAUUUUGUGAUGGAACAAAAGCAUAGGCAAUGCUACCAAAAAUUUUAAAGUGGUCUGCCUUUGGCUUCUUUUUGUGCCAUGCCUCGGACGGAGUUUUAUUUCUGACAGCUUUUGUAGGCGAUCGAUUGAGAAUAUAUACUGUCGUGUUUACAGCUUCUGCCCAAUAAAGAUUUAGAAUUCCUUUGCCUUUUAGCAUGCUUCUUGCCAUUUCGACAAUAGUCCGAUUCUUUCUCUCAGCUGCUCCAUUUUGUUGUGGAGUUCAGCUAACUGUUAGCUGCCUUUGAAUGCCAUUAACUUUGCAAUAUUCAAUAAAGUGAUUGUAGAGAAAUUCUCCUCCGCGAUCAGUCCUCAACAUCUUUAUUAGAAAUCCACUUUGUCUUUCUGCAAGUGCUUUAAACUUUAGAAAAGUAGAGAAUGCCUCAGAUUUUUUAUUCAGAAAGAAAAUCCACAUCAUCCUUGUGUAAUCAUCAACAAAGAGAAUGAAAUAUCUCUUAUUUCCAGGAGUAGGAGUUUGUAUUGGUCCACAAAUAUCUGAAUGAACAAGCUCCAAUGGCAUUUUAGCUCGCCAUGAAGUUUUAGGAAUUGGAAGCUUAUGCAUUUUUCCAUAGAUACAACCUUCACACACUUUGUCUGUCCUUUGAAUUUUAGGAAGUCCGAUCACCAUAUUUUUCUCCUUGAGCAAUUGAAGUCCUUUGCCAUUUAAGUGACCAUAUCGUAAAUGCUAUAGAUGUGACAAAUCUGCAUUUUGAGCUUUGAGUGCACAAUUGUUGUCUAGUGGCACCAUGAGACAAAAGGUUUUGUUUUUCAUUUCAACAUUUGCCACUAUGACAUUUUUCUUUUUAUCAAAGAUCUUGCAUCUUUCAUCAUCAAAGUGCAUCGAAAAAUUCUUUUGCAAGAGUUGUCCAAUACUUAAGAGAUUAUAUGAAAGAUUUGGCUCAUAAAGAACAUCAGUAAUAAGUUCUCUGUUACCUCCCUUAGUUUGGACUGCAAUGAUGCAUUUUCCUUCUGCUCUUCUUUGUGUUCCAUCUCCGAGAAUAAUUUGAGAAGUGGUAUUUCGAUUGAUCUCUACAAAGAUAUCUUUAUUUCCUGUCAUGUGAUUGCUAGUGCCGCUAUCCAAAUACCAUUUAUUCUUGGAUUCAAAGUCACCAUUUUGAUGAGAAUAAAAUAGAAUUUCAUCUUCACUUUCUUUCAAAAAAUUUGCCGCAUCUUCAUUUUUCUCCUUAUUUUGAAACCAACAAUCCUUUUGAGAAUGAUUAGGUACCUUGCAUCUUUUGCAUUUAAAAUAGCAAUCUUUUGAUUCAUGAUUGUUCUUUUUGCAAAUAAUGCAAGAUUGAGCCUUACCGGAUUGUUGUGGUGCCUUGGCUUUCCAAUUGCUUUGCUUUUCAUUUUGACUCCACUUGCUAAACUUUCCCUUUUUGUUGUUUGAACCUCCAUGAUUGCUUGAAGUUAUUUUUAAUGCUUGCUUUGAUUGGAAGGCUUGUUCGGUUGAUUGACUAGUCGAACGAUUGAUUCUUUGCUCAUGUGCAAGAACCAAUCCGAUCAACUUGUACAUGGUCAUUUUAGACAAAUCCUUUGAUUCUUCAAUUGUGGCGGCUACAUGAUCGAAUUUUGAAGGGAGACAUCGAAGCACUUUUUCAACAACUCUUUUGUCUUUAAUUGUACCUCCACAACUUUUGAUUUGGUUUAAAAUCUCCGAAACUCGUGAAGAGAAAUCACGAACCGACUCUUGUUCUUUCAUUUUGAGAUUGUCAAUAUCUUUCCAUAAAGAUUGAAGUUUCAAGGCGAUAGUUUUCUCCGAACCUUGAAAUUCUUGAUUUAAAAUUUUCCAUGCAUCUUUGGCUUUUUUAACACCAAAUAUACGAGGAAAAUUGAUUUUCCAACUCCUUGUUGAAUAUAUCGUAACACCGUUGUAUCUUUCUUUUUGUAUUCCUUUUGAAACUUUGGAUCUUCUUCAUCGCCCUCGGUUGAAUCUUCUACCACCUUAUCAUCCUUAAUGACUUCCCAUAAAUCUAAAGAGGUGAAGAAAGUUUGCAUUUGACUACUUCAAU
rnacentral:lncRNA from 1 species